GGACAGGUGGCCGAGAGGCUGAAGGCGACGGUUUGCUAAACCGUUAUACGGCUAUUCGCUGUAUCGCGGGUUCGAAUCCCGCCCUGUCCG
rnacentral:tRNA from 1 species